CGCAUUCAUGCGCGGAGAUUGUUUGUAACGGAGGGAUAAGAAGAAGAAAAGAAGUGAAACGCUCAUAUAAAUGAGCGUUCAGACACCAUAGUAAAACGGUUUACUAAAAUGUAAAGCAUUUGCUUCAGUUUACAUUUUGUUUUCCCUGCUAAACGUCGUGUCGAAUGAGCAACUGUUCUUUUAAAUGCUCUCUGCACCUCCAUAGUUUACGUAAGGUAUCAACAGCUAAGAGAGGACAUUUUUUUUUGCAUUUAGUGAAAUGAAUACUUUAUUUACUUUGUGUGUAUAUUUAUUUAUUUGUUGUUUGUGUGUUUAUAUGUUUAUAUUUAUAUAUAGUAGUUACAAUGAGUGAUUCUUUUUUCUCCCAGUUAUGACAGUGGCAUAUUCUCAGUCACAUAUACAGCAGCUUUUUUCCCCUUUCUUGUUUUUUUCUUUCCUUUUUGUUUUGUUUUUUGUAAAUCAAUUAGAUUAUCAGGCAGAUUAUAGAACUUUGUACUUACAAUUCAGACAGUUAAAUGAAUCAUUCACCCCCAAAUACCCGCAAAUUAUGUUAUUCCCAACCUGCAUUAUUUUUGUGAAGCACAGAUGUUAGGCACUGCAGACUUUAGUCACCCUUCACAUUUACAGUUUCAUUUUAAAUGUUUCUUAGUAUUUCUUUUUGUGUUUCACAUAAAAAAAGAAAGACGUUUCGGAACAAUGUGACGGUGAGUAAAUAAUGACAGCUUACUUUUGGGUGAACUAUUCCGUAAAUGUUAAGAGUUUUUCAAUUCCUCUUUUGUAUAAUGUCCUUGUUAAAUAAAACUGGGGUUUACAAGAGAGCUUGAACUGCAAUAGUCUGGCACACAUAGAGACUAUAUAGAAUCUGUUCAUCUGGAAGUGUAAGCACUGUAUUGACUGUUGAGCAGCUUUUCAAAAGGUUAAUUUUUUUUUUUGUACACAAAAUUGUUGACUAUUGUGUAUAGGGCAGUAUUCACACUCUCGUAUGACCUUUUCAAAGUCCUCAAGGUUUAGGUUUCGUAAAGAUAAUUUGAAACCUCUUAUGGAUUCUUCACAUUUUAUGGAUAUUGUGUUUAUUGCUGAAAGAAUGUUAAAGACUGUGAAUUCAACAAUUCAUCUCUGCACAUAUGUAUGAAAUAAGGACAGCUGGCCUUUUCCCAGAAGAGACACAUUAAGAUUACAAAUAAUUUCUGCGAUAAUAGGGACAACAUGAUCUGUAGUUCUCUAGGUGAACAUUCGCAUUACUUUCCUCAAUAUGCACUAACUGCUAUUUAGUAUGUGCGCCGCUAAUAGAUAUUUUAAUAAUUCAUCAGUAUGUAUUGUAAAUUAUUCACCUCCCUGUAUGGUCAUUGGUGCCGUUGAACCUAACCUAGUUUAAAGCCAUUCAUCCUGACAGAAGUAAGAUUGAUCAUUUAGGUUAAAUGUAGGUGGGUUAUAAGUCUAUGUGUCAUCCAACAAAUAACAUGCAUUUGGCUAAUAUUUAGACUAAAGUCAAUAUAAGCUGUUAUCACUGCAAAUGAGCCCUAAAAUGCAGAGAACAGUAAACGCCACUCAGUUCAUUAGCUAGACCACACAAUAUUGAUGCUGGGGUAGCAUAUGAACUCCAUUUCUAUUCGUCUAUGUUUUCAAGAAUCAGCAGAAUUAGAUUGAAGACUGCAUCUCUGCUGUCCCAGAGGCAUAUUAUGCUGUUGUCCCUUGACUGCAGUAACUAUUGUUCUAAUGUACAUAAUUGGCAAUUGAAUAGAUUCAGAGCAUUAAAAGCUGCUUAUUUGCCUCUUGCAACGUAAAGAAUGCUUUGAAGCUGGUAAUAUGAGCUCCAAAUGCACUGAUUGAAUGUUUGCAAUAUAUAACCAGAUUUAUUAACACAUUUCGUAGGUUUGUAACUGUUUUAAAAUAAUGGGCUUUUCAAAGUACGGCUGCUUAUUGCUAUCACUUUAUGCGUAGACAUGAUUAAAAGGAAUGUUCCAAACAGUCGUAGUUUGAAACGCACAUAGUGUGUUUUCUUUUUUUUUAUGGUUUCGGAUAUAUCCCCUCGUAAUUACGUGAACUUAUAGCCAUGUUGUUGUGUUUUAUCAUCAUGCAACAUAAGCCUAAUCAACCCCAACAACCUUGUGAUAAGCUUAGCUUAUGGCCAAAAGGUCUCCAACCUGGAGCAGAUGUUCCAAAGCUUAUAUCAAAGCUCAAGCUAAAGUGUUCGUUUAGACAGAUUGGAUUUGCAGCGGUGUGGAGGGGUUGGAGAUGUUGGCUUUGUGAUUUCGGCAGGAUUUGGACCAUCAGCGGACAUGCCUGGAGGAGGACAGUAGCUGUCUGCGAGCUGAGAUCCAGGAGCUGAAAACCGACAUUAGACCCCUCACAUAAGUGAUCCAUCGCGCUCAACACAUGCUCGGCCUGGAUGUUCGCCAUAGUCUCCUGUGUACAACGUGCCCAUGCCAAGAUCCUGCUGCUGUACCUUUAGCCGUGACAAGUCGGCCUCUGCGCCAGCUGUGCCCAUGGGGCGUCAUCGGUCGUAACAAGAGUUGGUGUGCCUGCUUCAGCGCAACCCCGUUGUGGUGUUAGAGGAUAAUAACACUCUGCUUCCUUUUGUCAGUGUGUUUUGCUGGAUGAUAAACACAGGGGAGGAAGGACCAGCAGAGGAGCUCAGGCUCGAAGAGUCCAAAGCCAGAGGACCUAUGAAGGCUCAGGUGGAAGAUCUGAGGAAACAGCUCAAGGCCAAGAGCAGGAUUAUUCAAAGUCUGAAAGAGGAAAUUAAGACUCCUUUGUUCCAGAGUGCACAAAAGAAGAAUGAGGUGGUGCAAGUAAGAAAGAAGAGAAAGUCAAGCAUUUGACCACUGCAAGAGGGUCUGCAAGAAAAGGCACAUGCACUUUGGUAAAAGAGGGUGAUACUGAAGGCAGAGGGGAAGAUUCUGCAUUCAGGAAUUUUGCUAACCUAGAGAGCUCACCACGAGUAGACAGUCGAUGAUUACCAGCGCACCUCCAAGCCAAAACCAUCAGCUCACAACGUGAACAAAACAUUUUAACCGCUGAGUAUUUGAUAAAAUUACAUAAAUUGGUAUUGGUACAACACAAGUGUGGCCGUCGGCUGUCAUUUGCGUCUCUGUGAGGGGAUUUUUCCUGCUUCAGCUGUCCUCUAUUCUCACAGUGCUAGUGAACCCGCAUACAUGACUAGACCCAUUCAGCAUUUAUGUCGAUGUGUGUGUUAGAAGCGAACAUUAAAAACUCCCUAACACAUCCCACAAUGCCUGAGAAUGUUCUCUGGAGUCCUCACAGUCACGGAGUAACUCCUCUGUCUGCUGUGGAACCUCCUGAGGCCAUAAACGCUCCAGUCACCGCGUGCAUCUGCUUUGUCUGCCAGAUCUUCCUCUCUGUUGUGGGAGCAUUUGCUCAAUACCUCUUGCCUGUGACAUGACAGGGCAAAAUGACACCGUUUUAACGCACCCUUCACUGAAACACAAAAAUGUGAGGAAGAUUUGUUAGCCGACAAAGCUGGAAUUGUAUCAUUUUGUGGAUCAACAACACUUUGAAUUGUAAUAUUUAACUAAACUGGAUCA